UGUCCUCAACGGUGGACUCAUAUUACUGUUUUUUUUUGUAAUUUUUAUAGAUUUUCUGAGAAGAUUGAAUUUUGGGCCAAAUUUGACUUUUUUUUUACCUUUAUGGCGCCUGGAAGAUUCGAACGUACUGGCUAUUAUGGUAAAUAUUGUUGUACACGCUGAAAUACAUGUAUUUUAUGAACACUUAUUGGUCUUAAGUGGAUAUAAUGACAUUGAUAGAGGUAUGAGAAAGUUAGAGCAGCAUUUUUCCAAGUCAAGUUUUUUUUUUGAAUGGGUAA
rnacentral:lncRNA from 1 species